UGGUAUUUCUGGAUCCUUACCAAGGCAGUGAUGUAUGUCUUCUCUCAAAGUAUGUGGUAUUUGUGGUAUAAGGCAUAGUGGCAUUGCCUUCUCUCUCACCCUACUCUAAUAAGGCUUUUGAUAUCUGGAGCUCAUAGGUGGGAGAUAAAGUAUACAUACUUACAAGACAUUUAUUGCAUAGUCAAACCAUGGAUCCAGAAGAACAAGUAAAUAAGUCAAAUCAAGAUGUGCAUGUGUGGCUAAUGAAUGGUGUAUGGUGAUGAUGGUGAUAACAAUGGUGAAAGUCUAAUUCUACGUUUGCUCUUUUGAGGGGAUACAUACCUUUCUUGCACUUUGAAGCUUUUUGAGGAGAAUGAGAUGCUCUAUAUUUUCUUUUUUUUUUCUCUCAGGUGGGUAUCUUGUACCCCUAAUUCUACUGUCGGACACUUGUCCAUUUUGACCUCUCGUCUCACUUUUUCUUUUCUUUCGAGGUUCCGGGCACUUGCCCCUUUUUAUUUCCUCGUAUUCUUUCUUUUUUUUCUUUCUCUUUUUUUAGAGCACUCAUCUCCUGAAAUAAUAUAGCAAGUGGUAGUAACCAAGAUAACCUAAGCAUUUAUUUCACAGGGAAAAACAAAAAUAGGAGAAUGUUUUUGUCUAUUCUCUCCCGGAUUAGGGGUAGAAUAUUUUUGGGUGGUUCUGGAGAUGGAAAUGGGUAUAUGUGGAUGCGUACUUCCGGAGUAGAAGCACCAUGUAUGAGUGAACGUGCAAGUGAAUCUUGAUUUAACCACAUGACAAGCUCCUAAGGGUCUACACAGCUUGACCACACUCAAUGCUCAUAAGCAGUAAAAAGUAAAUGUGUGGCUCAAAGUCUAGCAAGCAUGUAUAUAUAGCUGUGGUAGGAAUUUAAACUCUCAUCAUACAGGAACUCAUCUUGCAACAUUUUAAAGGUUUUCAAAGAUAAAAUUCUCUAGAACUCUAGCAUCUCUAGGAACAUAUAAACAGCAACUCAACCUUCCCAUAUCGUAUCAGUUAACGACUUAGACUUUAGAUCAAGUACUCUUCCCACAAGUUCAGGUUUAGAGUAAAUCUUAAUUAAUACCAGUCAUGCCUAAACUUGAGAGAGAUUUCAAUUUUGAGAAUUAGUCAUGGCAGAGCAACUAUUCAUCAUUUCCAUGUGAGAGCUUAUCAUAAGGGUUCAUAGCAAACUUUAUUUAUUUCUUUAUUUAUUUAGCAAACUAAGCAAAGAUAUAUAUAAGCACAAAAUCUUUAUUUGGGUAUUUAUGAUUAUGCAUCUUUUUAUUAUUUGAGUAAAAUAUAAACGUGAGUAGAAUACUUAGCUGGAUAAAUGGGGGUGCUCUCCCCCAAGCUGGAUUUUGACGUAAUUUGUUCUGAUAUAGCUAGCAAGUGACGGAGGUGUAUUUGAAUGUUGGCAGCACCCUAACAGCGAUUAGGAUGUCCUCCGUCUGCUAGUCUUCUUUGAUCCUUGAAUUCUGUGGAGCUCAAAUAGACAACAAAGCUUUGUGGAACUAGUUAAGUGUUAGCAUAAAUAUCUAGCCUUUAUCAUGUUGAGCUUCCUCUAAUAAAUAUUACUCUCUUUACUAGGAUCAUAAAUUUAUUUUUAUAAUUUUAUUUUUAUAGGACAGGAAUAUAUUUAUUUUAUUUUUAUGCCACCACAGUGAAUGUACUUAUGGGUUUUAUGCCAUGAGCAUACUCACAUGGGGCUUACUAUUUUUAACAUUUUUAUUUUCUUUUCAAGAUGAUAUGAACCUGAUUAACUAAGCAAACUAUUUUAAAUAAUUGAAAGGAAAAAGAUAACUACCUCUUGGCAAGGCGUUCGGUGCUUUUAAGUCUUCCAAACGGGACUCCGUUUUCUCAGUCGUCCUGGGAUUCGCUGGAUGGCGUAGUCGGUGAUUCCGGCAGCGCCUCCUCUUCAUGUAUAACUAUCUUCUCUCUCCACACCUGACUCGGUGCUACGGUCUCCUCAGGACAGUUCUGUUCAAGUUGUAUGUCUUCAGACCUUACCACUUCUCCUUCAUAGUCCGCCCAUUCGUCCUUGAUAAUUUGCCUCCUCUGGUUGCGAUUGUGUCGUCUUCUUCUUGUCCUGACCUGCUCAGAGUCUUCAACUAUAUAGUUAGGGUCAGUAAAAUAGCGGCGUACCUUCUCGGAGGGGAAGUGCAUGUGGACUUCUCCGGUUUCAAUGUAGAUGAUUGCUUUAACGGUGCUGAGAAACGGUCUCCUAUGAAUUAUGGGUGGAUCGUACUUGUCUUCAACCUUUCGGAAUGUCUGAUCUGCCAUCUGGAGAUGAAUGUAUGUCGGUUUUAGGGGCAUGGAUCCGAAUAGGAGCUGAUAGGUGACUAGGUCGUCCUUUUUGGUCAGGAAUGGUGACUUAAGUUGAUGAUCUUGACCUCCAUGAACUGCAGUGACCAUCUUAGCUGACUCGGUCCACAUUUGCUUGUUCCUGUUCCUCCUGUUGGUCCUCUUCCUUAGUUUAUGUCGGGAAUGCUCUGAGAUUUAUGUAGUCUUGUUCUUGAAGGAAAACGUCUCCUUCCUCCCCUUGAUGUAGAAACUGAUAUUGGCAGCACUAGCGUAGAUGAUAGCUCCCGAAGUGUUUAGGAAUGGCCUCCCUAGAAUGAUGGGUGCGCUCUCAUCUAUACCAGUCUCUAUCACCAUGAAGUCUGCUGCGGCUUACAAGGUACCAACUCGGACGCAGAGGUUCUUCAAUAUUCCCUUUGGGAAACUUAGCGUACGAUCUGCAAGCUGCAAACACAUGGCUAUUUCUAAUAAAGGACGUGUAAAGAAUUUUUCAUAGAGUACCCUGGGCAUAAUGUUGACGCUGGAGCCAAAGUCGCAGAGUGCUUCUAGGAAGUUCACCAUGCCGAUGGAGAUCGGGAUGACGGGGCGUCCUGGAUUGUCUCUCUUGACCGGCAGAAGGUCAGUAAUUACUUCCACAACGGGGUUACUCCAGUAGUACGUCCUCAAGCAUCCUAGGGCAGUGAUUGCCUGAGUGUCCAGUAUCUCCAGUUUGUUUGUGCUCGUAGAUCUAGGUUCUUCACUAGGUGGAGUCUGGGAGUUGUAAAAGUCCUUCAUAUUUUGCUCGAAGUGUACCUGCUCAUAAAGACAAGGCAGAGAUCAAGUGCAUGGGCCCUGUUGGUGGAAAACACCAACAGAACCAAAAGUGUAUUUGUUCUUCUCUAACCUUAAGCAUAGUGAGCAAGACAAAGUUGAUGGAUAAUGAGUGUAGCAUUUAAAACAUUUGUCAGAUCAGAUCACUCAACCUUAUGGAAAGAUAAUCUAUCUAAGUAAAUGUUUUUUUCUUUACAUGACUAUCAUUUUCCAAAGAUUGAGUGUGCAACAUUUUAGUUCAUAUGAUUAGGAGUGUGAGAUCACAAAGGUGGAAGGACUAAACAUGUUGAAUCGAUUGGGUUGGUUAAUCUAGAGUUAUAAAUCAUACAUGUUUGUCUCUUUUAUUCAUGUGAACGUCAGAACCAAGGAGAAGCUUAUAAAAGUGAUAGUCAAGUACUUUAAGAUGUUACCUUACUUGAAGAGUGAUGGUACAAUAUCACCUUGUGGAAGCUUCCCUUUCUUAGCGGUUGUGCAUCGUGUUUGUGGCACCCUCCAUGGAUCAUCUCUUGUGAGCUAUGCAUUCCUUGUGUAAAUUGUUAACCUUCAUGUGUCUCUCUCUUUGUCUCCAAUGUGAGUUUAUCUCAGGACUUCCCAGGUCGAUAUUGAAAGUUUUCCUGUAGGGGUUAGUCCAACAAAAUAUCCAAUAUUUACUAUAGCAUACUAUCAGCUCAAAGAUCAACCUAGACACCAUGUCUAGUUUGAUUUAGGAGGGCAUUUUAACCUAAGCAUCAUGCUUAAUUUAAACUCCCUUGGAAGUAAGAUCACCAGCCCUAAACUAAGCACCAUGCUUAAUUAAGAGAUAAAUGAAACUACUCCAAACCUAGACAUAUACUAAAGCAAAUAAAGGUAGCAUGAGAGCAUUUAUAGAGUUCUACUCAAGUGGAGAUGAAGUAGUGUGAUUAGUAUUUAACAAAUUGAGCAUGUCUCAAAGGUAGGGACAACCAACAUAGCAACAUGGCAAAUGAUGUUUUUAUGUAAAGUACUUACCCAAGCUUGAAUUUUGCAAAAUUCAAGUUUGGAUGAAUUUAAUUAAAUGUUGUAUGAUGAUUGGUUGGACAUACCUUGUGCUUGUCAUUCAUCCGAUCUUCUUGUCCAAUCCUAGAAAGGUUAGUGACAAGAAUACCUGAAGGAAUAGUUUUACAAUUAUCCUUAUAUGCUCAAUACACAAGGCAAUGUUGCAAAUAAUUAACAACUCUUGUUACGAUCUGAUCAGUGCUUGUCUUAGGACACUAAGCUUGUCCUUAGGAAACCAUCAAUUUAUGUCGGCGAAGUGGUUUCCCCUGCAACGCUGACCUAUAUCAAGAUCAACUCAAUGAGAUCUGCAAUAUUUAAUAUAGACAUAUGCAUCGACAACCGCCCUUUUAAAGUUUUUAUAAAUAGAAAGGAAGUGGGGGUUGGAGAUCUCGAAUGUGGUGAUGUUGGAGAGACCAAUGGAUUGUGAAGAUGUUGCAUAUGAGCAUGGAGUAAAUGAAGUGGCUAUGAAAUAAAUUCCAUGCUCAUUAAUGCUUAGAGUGAAAUCCAUGUGGUGUGGUGAAAAUGGUAAGGUGAGUGUGGUAAAAAAAGGGAAAAGAAAAAGGAUACAGACUAGAGCACUUGAUGCAAGCGGGAAUCCAAUAAAUAACUUGAAUGUAAAUUGAAAGGAUAAGAUGCCCAAGAGGGGGGGGUGAAUUGGGCUUCUCUAAAUAUUUAAGCAACAUAUAAGCUCCAAUUCAACCCCUUGUGCCUAGUGUGACCUAGAGAGCUACCGAAUAAAAGUUUUGCAACCUAGUUCCAAUCCUAUUCUAGCAUGGCAAUUCUAAGAAUGUAAAAGCACAAAGUAAAUGCUAGAAUGUAAAGGAGUAGUGGAAGAAAAUGCUCGGCGAUGUUUUGCUGAGGUAUCAGAGAGUCGCCACUCUCCACUAGUUCUCGUUGGAGCACCCACGCAAGGGCCUUGCUCCCCCAUUGGUCCACGCAAGGACCAAGUGCUCUCUACGGGCUGAUUCUUCGACACUCCGUCGCGGUGAAUCGCCCAAAACCGCUCACAAGCUUGACACGAGCCACCCACAAGAACUCCGGGCGGUCUUCGUGCCUCUAAUCACCACCGAACCAUCUAGGUGAUGGCGAUCACCAAGAGUAACAAGCAAAGAACUCUCACUUGACCCAAACAAGGCUCUAGAGAGUGGUGGAUGCACACUUAACACUUGGAAUUCACUAGAGAAGGAUUCUCUCAAGAAACCACUCAAAUCUCAAUCCUCUCUAGGCUCUUGCUACUCUCUUGCUCCACAACAAGUUUCUCUGAUGUUCAAAUGGGCAAGAGACCUCUCAUGGACGAGGUGGAGCAGUAUAAAUACUACCCACGAAGUCCAAAGGUCAGCCAACCAUUUUCCACUGAAAACGGGGUCACCGGACGCUCUUUAUGUUGCACCGGACGCAUUGCACUGAGCGUCCGGUGCUCCAUAACGGCUAACUGUACUUGCUUCUGACAGUUCUCCGGAUGCUAACUUUCAGCGUCCGGUGCACCGUCCGGUGCUCGGGGAAGAUUUACAUGCUCCCUGCGCAUGGGACCGGACGCUACCCGGCGCGUCCGGUGCUAGCGUCUGGUGCUCAUGGCAGGUUUGCAACCUCCCUGGGUAUGGGACCGGACGCUGCCCGGUGAGUCCGGUGCCAGCGUCCGGUGCCUAACCCUAAGCACGGCACUGUUCCAAUGGCUAAGGACCUCGCCGGACGCACUCACAGAGCGUCCGUUGCAGCGUUCGGUGCCCCCUUGGGCACCCUAACUUCGUCGAAACGCGAUCACUCCAAAACGAAGUUUGUUCCUCUCGAUCCAAGGACUAUCUCUGAGCUGCCUAGUGCUAGGUUUACCAAGUGUGCACCACACCUAAACCUAAAGCCUUGCCUAAGUCAAGCUACUAGAUCUAAGCCCCUCUUAAUAGUACGGUCAAUGGAAAACAAAGUCCUAAACUACUCUAAGUGCCCUUCUUCACCAUAUGGCACUUAGACCUAGUCUAGUCUUGACGAUGUCCAUCCAUCCUUCAAAAACUGAAAACGAUUUCCACUAUUAAGUAGGCAUGUACGUCCCUGUCCAUCGAGUACCUAUUUACCAUGACCUUACCUAUGACUUUGCCUCUGCAAAACACACGUUAGUCAUAGUAAUCAACAAUGUCAUUAAUCACCAAAAUCACUAGGGGCCUAGAAGCUCUUUCAAUCUCCCCCUUUUUGGUGAUUGAUGACAACCUCGAGUAUGAAAAGAGUUGAGUUUUCAAAUGACUUGGUUUCAAUAAGCAUGAUACAAUAAGAACAAAAGGAUUAGACAUGCUUAUAUCAACCAAGUCCAACAUCCUACAUCCAAAUAUGUGAGUUGAAUACAACAGGAUAUAAACACAAGGCUCAUAAGUACAUCGGAGUAAAAAUGUGGAAGAAAAGGUAAUAUGAGCCAAAGCACAUGACAUUAAGAUAUUACAAUUAAGCACAAGUCAUGUCUCACAACCAUAGUGUAUCUCACACAAAUGCAAUGCAUAAAGAUAAACGUGAUGCAUGAUAGAGUAGCACACAUAAAAGUAUCUCAAAAGAAUAAAAAACCCCUCUCUAGCUCUCUAGCUCCCCCUAACUCCUAACUCUCAUACUCAUACUCUCUCUCCCCCUUUGGCAUCAAGCGCCAAAAACCUAAGAAGUCGGUGGAGGAGGCGAAGCAGUGGAGUCCCUCGGCACGGCCUCAAAGCGAGCUGCAUCGUCUAAACCAUCGGCCGUCGAGGCGGAGGAAGUAGAGUGACCCUCUGAAGCUGCACGAGCUGGCGAAGCAGUCUGGGUCGGCUCUGUAGGGGCAGGAGUUGUGACUGGCUGUGCAGGCUGCUCGAGUCCUGUUGACGAAGCUGGCAUGGACUCGGUCGCUGUAGCUGAAGUCUCUGGCACUGUAGACGAAGGUGCUAGCUGCUCAAACGACGCUACGGACGACGACAGACGCUCAGUAGUGGUGACUGGUGCCGUAAAAGGUGCAGGAGCCUGCAGAGGUGGAGGCGUAGGGUCACCAGUCAGAGCACUGUAGGAGAAGCUGAGGUGUGGGUCUGUCGACGAGUCCAACACGAGCUGUGGCGCUGACGCUGACUGCGGAGUGAAACCAGAGCGGAGAGGUGUAAACUGAGGUACCUGCUCAAAGCCAGAGGAGAUAGCACCCUAGGAGACCUGGUGCUGAGGCAUCGAGAACGGCUGACUCUGAGCGGGUAGCUAGAGAAGCUGCUGAGACUGACUCUGAGUCGGAGGCGCUGGAGUGGGUGGCCUGACAGUCGAAGUGCCUGGGAGCUGAAUCUGCGGAAUCUGAAUCCCUGAGGCGGCCAUGAGAGCGGCCAUCAUCGCUGUCUGCUGGGCCUGGAACGCAAGCUGCUGCUCCUGAAAGGUGAGAAGCUCUCGCUGGAGCUCAUCCUGCCUGGCCUGCAUGGCUGCAUUGAUGGCAGCCUGGUCCCUGUCUCUCCUCGCCUGCUCCUCAGCUGCGCGGCGCUGAUCUGCUCUCGUCCCCUCUAGAAUGGCAAGCAGAGCGGGGUCUGAAGCACUCGAGGAGCCUCCUGUAACACCCCAGGUGUUUGUCACUUGCUAAGUACUAGGUUUGAGCUCAAACAUGACAAGUUCAAUGGUAAUAAAGAGGUCAAAGUCAAUCUAUGAAAGUAAACCCCAACUUGGGCUUGGUGGAUGCAACCUUGGUUGCAUAUAUGCCUUUUUAAAAGGUAUGCUUUGAUGAUGCUAAUGGAACCUUUUCCAUGUGUCUUAUAUCCAUCCCAAUCUAUGUUGGUCUCUCGAAAAGUUUGGUGAAGUUUGGAAUCAAGAAGUCACAUGAAAUGAUAAGUUAUAUCCUUGUUGGAAUGACUCUAUUAAGGAAAUGGAUUCAUGGGUCACCAACCAAACCUUGCAAACUUACUCAUAUGACUCUAGAUGAAUUAUACAACAAAAGUCAUGAAGGGUUCAUGUUGAGCUUAUGUCAAGAAAAUGCUUCAAUUGGUCUAAAAUCCUAUUUGGAGCUUUAUCAGGAUACUGCAUUGACCAAAGUGAAAGUUUGACUUCGGUUGCAGUUAUGAGGUUUGACCCUAAAUGAAAGUUGUGGUUUUGCUUCUGUAGAAGAAACUUUAUUCAAAGGUCAAGAACCAAAUCAGCCUGCAAACAGUUCAAACAGAGGCUCGAAGUUCGAAUCAGCUGCUGUUUUUCAGCCCUGAGAAAUAGUUCUAAGUCCCUAGAAGGACAGCAGUGAGUUAGCUUCUUCGUGACGUUUUAUUAUGCAAAUUCAUAUGGUAACUCAAUUAGAUUCCUUAAUAUGAGUUGGACUACUCUUCUUGAUGAAAGCAAUGGAUCAAGUAUCAUCAAAUUUGGAGUUCAUUUGGAUGUUCAAAAAUAGCUCCCAAAACAGCAAAAGAUUAAUUUAUCGCUAAACGGACGUCGACCCGUUGGCAUGCCGCGUUCUCGUGUUUUUGUUAAGCAACUCAAGUUGGUCCAAAAGUAAAAGUUGUGGAUAAUUGUUUGGAGAAGGUUAUGUAAAAAGUUGCAUCAAGUUUGACAUGGUUUGGACCAUCAAUUCUUGGUUUUGCUAAUCACCGUCAAUACGUUGACACUCGUGAAUUGGCAUUAAGUUAUCUCUUAAUCUGUUAGUCUAAUGAUCUUGGUCACUUAAUCAAAGUUGGAGAGCAGGCCGAGGUGAGCAAACUUCGUUUCUGGCCCAAGGUCCAAUUCAGCCCGGAAAAGGCCCAAAAUCGCCUCCCACGCCGGCCACUUCGCUGCGCGCCACGUGCUCGGCGAAAUGUGUCAAAGGGAAACGCGUGUCCUGGGCGUGUCCACCAUGCACAGCGCCCCCACCUCCAUUUGAUGAACCCCUGCUGCCCUCUUGCGGUCUGUGAAGCCAGAGAGCGCUCCCCACCCUUCUGUUGUGGACGCCCAGCUCCCUCAUCCGCUCCCUUGCCUCUCUCCUCGCUCUGGUGCCGCUGUCCGCCAUGGACAUCAAGCGGAGCUUCAUGGCCUCCAUGGCUAGGCCGUCCACGAGUGGCUCGGGCCAAGCUGCGUGGUGUGGAGGAUGCGGGCAAGCCUCCUGGUGCUUUCCCACUCCUCCAUCGUCGCCGAGACUCAGGGUUCCAGAUGCGAAGCCAAGACUCGUAUGAAUAGUGUUUGUGGUCUGUUGCGUGAUUCGUGGAAAGUCCAGGGUCCCCGGUGAAAGAUCUGUUUUCCUUUUUCCUUUGUUUUUACAGAUUUCAUGGAUGAACUUUGUAAAUGCAUAGAAAUUCGUAGAAAAGUCGUAAAAUAGCAAAUGUGGACUUUUUGGAAUCCUUGUGAAAUUCUCUAUGCAGUAGAUCUAUAAUAUGGCAUGGUUUAGUUUGAAGUUUUAGUCGUAAAAAUAGAUUUAUGCAGUUAGGUUUUAACUGCUUGUUAUAUUUGUCUUUUUCAUAACUGCUGUGUUGUUGCCCAAAUAAAUGUGAAAAUAUUGUGACAUGUUUUUCAUAUGGUAUUUGAUGACUGGUAAAAGUUUCAUGAAUUUAGGAACAAUAUAUUAAGAGUUACAAAAAUAACAAGUACCCUGUGUUCCUUUGCUCCUAUUCUGAGUGGAUCUGCAUGUUUGUAUUGUUUGGCUCAGUUCAGUUGUGAAUCAUGCCUUAAUGAAAAUAUAUAAGUUUUAGUACUUUUCAUGAGCUUUCCAAAAAGAUAAAUAGCACAAUUUUUGGUUGAGCACAUGUUGAGUUAUAGUGGUUUAAAUUACUGUUCCAGUUUCUGUCUAAACCCAGACAGAAUUGCAUUGUUUGUAAUGUAAGACCUUGUUAGUGGUAUAUUUAGCUCUAGAUGUUUAUAACAAAGUUGUUCACAAUUUCGUAAGCUUUCUAGAAUGUACACAAUCAUAAAUUAUGGACAUAUGAACUUCAAGUUAUAGCUGUUUAAUGUAGCAUGGCAGAUUCUGUCUAUGUUUUGGACAGAGAUGCCUUCAUGGGAUUAAUUGACCUUGAUAACUGUGGAAUCAUAUUUAGAUGAUAAUAAGAAAGUUGUAGGCAACUUUAUAAUCUUUUCACAAAUAUAAGAAUUAUGUUUGCUGGAGGUCUACAACUCCAGUUAUGCUGCUUUGAAUUGUCUAUCAGUUUUCUGUUUGUAAAUGUACCUCUACUGUUUGGACAGCAUGAGCAGUUUUAUUUAUGCAACUAAUUCCAUGAUAUAAAUGAUGUUUGCUGUGAAACUUGUAUAUAGAAAAGAUGUAGAUAAUUUACUAGUAUAUAUUGUGGUAAAGUUUCAUAUCAUUUGGCUAAGUGGUUUAUGAGUUACAGUAGUAUGAAGUUCAUCCUUUGAAAUGCUUGUUCUCUGGAAAUUCCGGGACCAGAUUCUAUGGUUAUGCAUGUUUGACUUGGUUAACUUGUUAAUCAUACUGAGAUGAUUAAAUAUGAAUUGUAGAUAAUUUUAUAUUCUUUCCAGAAUGUCCUAUUGCAUAGUUUUUGGAGUUGUGUAACUCCAGUUGUGAUUUAAUUACUGAGUUGUUGCAUGUAUGUCCAGAAUUGCUGAAAUACAUGAAUGCUUGAUUGCUUUACUUUGUGUGAUCUAAGUAUGAUUCAUGUCUUUAAUGGUGAUUUAAGUAAUACACUUGUAAACUUGUUAAACUUGUGUCAUGAUUGAUUUGUUUGCUCUAUAUAAUUGGUUGUGUGAUGUUAGCUAAAUAACUUUAGAUGCUUGUGUCUUGCAUACUUUUAUGUGAUGCAUGUUGUGUUAUUAUUCUUUAUAUUCAUGCACUUGCAUCUUGCAUCUCAUCUAGGUACGCUAGAUGACUCACGUGAAGGUCUUGGUGUGGGAACAAACCCGAAGACGGUGUUGGGCGGACCCAUCCUGAAGGUGGAAGGACUAAACAAGUGUUGUGACCUAAGAUGUCACCAAGAUGGAGCCACUAACUGAACUGACUCAGUGUUGAUCCCAGGCAAGCCCCGGAGCAUUAUAAGUCUCCCACUACUUUUGAAUGCAGUUGAGAAUAUAUGUUAUAUAUGUAUUGUUGCAUUAAGUAUAGGAGUUGGGUGAAACCCUUGCUGCAUAUAACACUCCUUGUCCAGCAAAUAUACCUAUAACCCUAUGUAGAUUCAGGAUCGAAUCUAAAUGCUUAGCUAUGCUUAGACCGGUAGAAGCCAGGUGAUGUCCCGUCACCUGAGCGAGAUAGGUGGACACCUGAAAAGAUUGGCUAUAUAUGCUAUCAUGGAAAUAACCAAGUGAUGAGGAUGAAUAAUUGGAGACCGGGCGGGACGAUGAUAGAGAAGCAACAAGGCAUGGAGGUCUUGGGUGCCUACCUAUCCCCGCCUGUGUCGAUUAAGGACCGAUCGUUGACGGCCCUCUUGUCAUGUUGAACCCAUGCCCCACACUUAGCUGGAAGGAUAAGUCGUUCCGACCGCGAAGCCUGAACACUAUCCGGGCCGGGAGUCGAGCCGCCAUGCGCUGUAUUGGUGAUGGUUGAGGAGAACGACGAGGGCGCGGCGUGCAACCUUGGUAUACCUUGGAUACCUCGGUCGCCGGAACGGUCCUCGGGUACUGGCGGUGCCUGCCGAACCCGCGAAUUGGUCCUGGAUAGUGUAAUACGGUGACCUGUAGUUCACUUGAUCAGUGAGUGUGGUUUGUGUGGGGAAUAACUCGCCAGCUGGUCAGAAAUCGAUUCGAAUCGCCAUCGCUCCUGGAUAGUGAGCACUUGACUUGAGCCCCGUCCUCGUAGUAAUGUUUAUGGAACACUUGGAUGGUUAUGGUAUGAUGAUGAUGUGGGAAAUGCCACAUCAAAUAUGGGUACUACUGUUGUAUCUUAAUCAAGUGAUUGCUUUAGUACAGGUGCUAAUCUAGAUGAUAGGUUAAUGAUUAUUAACUUGAGCUAAAUACCUGAAAGGAUUACUUAGUUGCAACUUAAGCUUUUUAUGCAAAAAGUGUUGUCAAGCUAGCUCCACCAAUAAAGCCUUGGAUACUCCUUGGUGUCAUCUUAUUUCUGGUUUAUGACGGGUAAGUCUAGCUGAGUACCUUCUCGUACUCAGGGUUUAUUCCCACUUGUUGCAGGUUGUGAUGUAUCAUGGCUACUGCAAGAGUUGGAUGACUCCUAUCAUAGUGGAGGAGUAAGAUCAUGGGCAUGAUCCUUCUUAGUUACCUCAUCUAUGUUGCUUUUGUUGGAGUUGACCUGGAUACUGGCAUGUAUUUGAAAUAAGGGCAAUAUUAGUUUCAAAUUACUUUGCUUCCGCUACUUUUCAACUCAAGUUGUAAUAACUAUCUUGAACUCUGAUGUAUAUCAAACUACUUGUGAAAUGGAUGUAACAUGUGACUUGUUAUGUUGAAUCACUACGAUCUUGGCUUGUAAGAUGGUUGGUUUGAAAUCCCUCGUGAUUUCACGGACUACCGGGUUUAUGAGAGUUCGAUUACGUUAAAGCAACUGCUUUGGCGGGAGUUUUUCGUAGUUGAUCUCUUGUAAAUUGGGCGGUUCUGUUACAGCUCCUGCCUCGUGGUCGUGUGCUCUAGGGGGGAAGUCUAUCACUGGAGGCUAAUAGUCAUCAUCUGAGCUGUCGAAAGCAAAGUCAAACUCCCCCUCAGCCUCAGCAUCUGCAAAAGCCCCAAUGACUAUAUCCUGCUGCUCCUCUGUCUCUGAUACUGCUGCUGUACUGCGAGUGCCCCUAGGAGAAGGUGGGGGCACCGGUCCACGGGGUGCACGAGGAGGUGGAGUAGCUCGGAGGUCGUGGUGUGCUCGCAGCAUCUGCCUGGGGUCGUAGUGGGGAAAGACGGUGUCUGACUCUGUCAACUCCCUCUGCAAGUGAGCUGGCAGGGGCACGGGCCUAGCACGAAGAAUAGGCAAGGUGAUCCAAUGUGCGUAUGGCAGCUGACGCCGUCCCCUGAAGCUCUCUGAGAUAGUGUCUUCAAUCUCUAAGACUAUCAAAUCCCACAAGUCAAACUGAGUCUGUGAGAUGAGGUGAGCAACCAGCCACUGCUGAAUCCGAGUGAAUCCAUCCCUGUAGCCUGUCCUGGGGAGAAGAGUCUUCCUCAACACAAAGUCGAGGAUCCUAGCUGGGCGUGUCAAAUCUCCCACUGUCCUGCUGGAGCCCUCUCCAAAAGGUGGAUGGAAACAAGGAGCCACGAAGUCUACCGGUGGUAUCUCACCACCGUGAGGACGUCGGGGAGGCUCGAAGUUCCCGUAGCAAAGCUGGUGAAUCCUGGUAGAGUAAGCUCGUAGCCCAAGUACCUCUCGGGCCCUCUAAGCUGUCACUCUGUAAUCCGUGCCUGCCAGUGCGUAGUGGAUAUAGUUGUGGUCUGGAGACACCCACACUGACGCGUAGAACUCUCGAACCCACUGCUCACAGUAAGUACCAGGGAGAGCUAGCAACUCUGGGAGGCCGUGGAGGUAGGUGAAGUACUGACGAAUAUCUGCCCCAACCACGUUCCUGAGUAUCUCAAGGUCAAUAACUCGGUGCUCCCUGAACUGAGACUGAGAGCGAACCAGUGCCUCGUAGAUGUCCUCCUGGACGACUGUGUAGAACCUGGCACCGGCUCUGGGGUCCCUAGCAGCUGGGAACCAAAUAGGAAAAGGAACGAAACGCAGCUGCUGGAUCUCUCUGGCUGACACAAGGGUGAGAUCCCUGUGAAUCCUGACUGGUCUUUGACGAGAAGCUGGUGUGCCUCUGGCUGGAGUAGCACGAGCAGCGGAGGUAGACUUACCCGGCGUACCAGUACGAAGAGUGGCCUGGGUACGUGCGCGAGUCGACCUCCUGAGGGGCUGCUCCUGUACCUCUGCUGGACCCUCUGCCUGGGCCUCUGUCUCUAUGUCAGUGUCUGGAUCCUCCUGAGCUGGCUCUCUGACAUUGAUCCUGACACGCUACCCUCCUAGCAUAAUAGUGCCUAGAGGUGAUCCAUGUCGAGCCUCGGCCUCAAGAACUGCACGCCUCUGACAUGGCGUGAGAUCGGCCCCAAUCCUCAAAGCACCUGACCGUCCUCCCCUCUCAGCUGCCUCUGCUGCUGCUGCAACUGCCUCUGCCACCUCUGCCUCUCUGUCGCUGGCCUUGCGCUUCUUGGUGGCCAACUUCUUGCCCUUGCCCUUCUCUGCCGCUGACAGGCGACGGGGAGGAUCACCUCCACCAUCACCUCCUGGGGAACCUCCAGCGCUGGCUGCUGAACCACUGACGUUCUUGCAACGUGCCAUCACAAGAACGACUGCCUGAAUGAACUGCCGAUAAGGAGCCAACUGACAAUGGAGAUCAAUAGUUGCUCUGCCAUGACUAGUUCUCAAAAUUGAAAUCUCUCUCAAGUUUAGGCAUGACUGUUAUUAAUUAAGAUUUGCUCUAAACCUAAACUUGUGGGAAGAGUACUUGAUCUGAAGUCUAAGUCGUUAACGGAUAUGAUAUGGGAAGGUUGAGCUGUUGUUUAUCUGUUCCUAGAGAUGCUAGAAUUCUGAAGAAUUUUAUCUUUGAAAAUCUUUAAAAUGUUGCAAGAUGAGUUCCUGUAUGAUGAGAGUUUAAAUUCCUACCACAGCCAUAUAUACAUGCUUGUUAGACUAUGAACCACACAUUUACUUUUUACUGCUUAUGAGCAUUGAGUGUGGUCAAGCUGUGUAGACCCUUAGGAGCUUGUCAUGUGGUUAAAAUCAAGAUUCACUUGCACGUUCACUCACACAUGCUACUUCUACUCUGGAAGUACCAUCCACAUAUAUCCACCCAUUUCCAUCUCCAGAACCACCCAAAAAUAUUCUACUCCUAAUCCGGGAGAGAAUAACCAAAAAUAUUUCUGCUUUUCCCCUGUGAAAUAAAUGCUCAAGUUGUCUUGUUACUACCACUUGCUAUAUUAUCUCAUGAGAUGAGUGCUCUAAAAAAAAGAAAAAAAAGAAGAAAAGAAAAAAAAGUAUACGAGGAAAUAAAAAGGGGCAAGUGCCCGAAACCUCGAAAGAAAGAAAAAGUGAGACGAGAGGUAAAAAUGGACAAGUGUCUGACAGUAGAAUUAGGGGUACAAGAUACCCACCUGAGAGAAAAGAAAAAUAAAAUAUAGAGCAUCUCAUUCUCCUCAAAAAGUUUCAAAAGAGCAAGAAAGGUAUGUAUCCCCUCAAAAGAGCAUAAGUAGAAUUAGACUUUCACCAUUGUGGGGCAAGUGCCCGGAACCUCGAAGAAAAAGAAAAAAGUGAGACGAGAGGUAAAAAUGGACAAGUGUCCGACAAUAGAAUUAGGGGUACAAGAUACCCACCUGAGAGGAAAGAAAAAGAAAAUAUAGAGCAUCUCAUUCUCCCCAAAAAGCUUCAAAAUGCAAGAAAGGUAUGUAUCCCCUCAAAAGAGCAAAAGUAGAAUUAGACUUUCACCAUUAUUAUCACCAUCAUCACCAUACACCAUUCAUUCGCCACACAUGCACAUCUUGAUUUGACUUAUUGACUUGUUCCUCUGGAUCCAUGGUUUGACUAUGCAAUAAAUGUCUUGUAAGUAUGUAUUAGCUGUCUCCCACCUAUGAGCUCCACAUAUCAAACCUUAUUAGAGUAGGGUGAGAGAGAAGGUAAUAUCACUAUGCAUUAUACCAAAAAUACCACAUACUUUGAGAGAAGACAUAUACCAUUACUGCCUUGGUAAGGAUCCAGAAAUACCACAAAAGAGAGAUUUGAGGGAGUCAUAUAAGGAAUCUCUGAGUUUUAUUUGAAAAUCUGCAAAAACUCUAGAGCUAUAGCUCAUCAAAGAACAAGAGACAUGGCGCUUGACUUGACCGUUCUAUCUUUUAACUGCUCAAGACACAAGUGACGGUUACAAGCCCCAUGGUGAAAGGUAAAAUGAGUAAGUUUUAAGUCUUAAUGUUUUAUUCUAACUCAGAGAUGAGACCUUGCUUGAAUGCGUGUGUACUUUUAAGGCAUGAAACCACUGCAGAAACUCUUGAGUUCAUCCUUGCUCAGGGACGAGCAAGAGGUAAGCUUGGGGGAGUUUGUUGACGGUCCUUAAGUAUCAAAUUUAAUUAUCAAAUAAACAAAGAAAAGGAUCCAAAUGAAAUCAACAUCUAGACUUAGGGUUUUAUCUGACAGAAUUCCACGAGUUUUGGUGUUUGUCUAUUUCUGCAGGGGCUUAUCAGGAAAUAAGGAAGAAAGGCCCACAUGUCAGGAUUACAUAGAGAUAUCAACGCACCGCACAAUUUUCAAUCAUCUAGAAGACUCCAGAAGCCACGAGACCGAAGCGGAGGCGAAACGGGGCCAGGACCUGUGCGCCCGCCCACCUGCCGAGCCCAAUCAGGACUCUUUCUCUCGGGAGAUCUCCACCGACCUAUGGGAUCCAGAAUAACAUAGUACCACAUUGCCUACCGACCCAAAAACGCAUAGAAGGGGAGGACUAUAUAAGGAGACCCCCCUGGCCCCUGGAGAAGACAAGAAAUUAUCAUAGAGAUUGAGGGGUGCCCUCGAAGGAAAACCUCUUCUCUAAAUAAUAUUUCUUUUUAGGCUUAGCAACCAAUGUAAAGUAGAAAUAGAUCUUCUAGUUUCUACUAGAUUGAGAGAUAUAGAGUGGAGGUGUGGAUCGGAGGAAGGCCGGCCUGUCGGUGUCUACUCCGAGUUGUACCUACGGGAUCAAGUCUCCUAACCCGAGGCUUGCUUCUAAGAUUCUUCAGUAAUUCGACUUCUAAUUCUAGUAAGUUCUUGUUUUAUUGUUCUUUGCUUUAUGAGUUUACUUUAUCCUCUUCCGGUUGAGUAUUAGAGUAAUCACUUGCUAGCGUAAACGUGGUGUUUAGGCUAGGGUACUCAUAGAUAUCCCCUGACUAGCUGGACCGUGGUAGUAGCGAGGAACGUGACAUUUCCGAGUUACCUUUGUAUCCCAUAUCUUGUUAGCAGGACGGGUAGGGUUAUAGGUGCGGGUCGAACAUCCUUUGUGUUGUCUAGAUUCCGUGAGCCUCCCCAAUAGAACAGUAGAUCAUCCUUACCAAGGUUAGAACGAGACUACGGUUGCAGUCUUCUCUAUACAUCGCUCACGUCGAGAAACAUUCUUUGUAGCCUAAAGGGGUAGUAGCAAUAGAUUUGGUUAGUCAGAUGCACCCUUUCUCCCAGUGGUAAAAAUAUAAAUACGAUAACUCUCGAUAACCUCCCGGGUGAAAUGCUCACCGAUAUCCGUGCGCUUGCGGAUCAUUUCCUGAUUGCGUUACCAAAUAUCAACACGCAUUUCUGGCGCCGUUGCCGGGGAGAAAGACAGUUUGCUGAGAUAACUUUGAGUCUUGCUAUUAUCUUGUAUUAUACUUUUAUACUUUUAUUCUUUUAUCUUUUUAUCUUUAUGGAUAACUUAAAUUCCAUACCUAUUAUUGAAUUCUUUGCACCUUCGGAGACCAGCCAUAGACCAUGGGAGUCAACACGUCCUACCCCUAAUUAUGAUCUGUGUCCGGAGUUGAUUGCAAUAGGUCAAAACCAACCCUUUUCUAUAGCUAAGGUCCUAUCUUUUAAUCAAGAAGAUAAUGCACUUUUAGCUACACCUAGGGAAUCUGUUAAUCUUUCUAUAAAUUCUGGUUUAGACCUAGCCCUACAAGACCAUGUUUUUCCUAGAUAUUUUCACAUUGGUCUUAAUCAUAUAACCUUUGGUAGAGUCUUUCUUUCUUUCUUUAUCUAUUAGUAAAGGAAUGUAUGUCUUCAUUUGUGGACAUCCUUCUUGCACUAGUCUUCACAAAAAUAUCCUAGAGAUAGAGAAGGAAUCAUCUCCCAGACGAGGAAAGGAAGUUUCAAUAGCCAAUUUCCCAAUAUUUCAAUCCCAUAAUUCGGCUAUGCAACCCAUCCUUGAGCUUAAUAAUUUCUACUAUGCUCUUUCUCUUGAACCUCUCGAUAAUCCUAUGAAUCAUUCUAGACAUCCCAUGCAUAAGAAGGAGGAUCGAGAAGAGCAACAUCGAUGGCUAGAGGGCAUUAAAAAUCCAUGUGCUAUCACCAUUGAAUGGAUAGAUAAAACAAACUUGAGAGACAAUCCUAGAGGAAUUUUAAGCAUUCAUGAAGAAUCAUCCUUGGAGUUUGAGAAUGAGAGAAACAACAGUGAGCAUGGAAGCUAUUUCAUAAAUACCUCACCCAGUCCUUGCUCAUAUAAAACAUCUCUCCAAUCAAUUUGUCUCUCCAUCCUUACCACAUUUGAGAUCUCCAACCCCCUCUUCCUUUCUAUUUAUAAAAACUUUAAAAGGGUGGUUGUCGAUGCAUAUGUCUAUAAUAAAUAUUACAGAUCUCGUUGAGUUGAUCUUGAUAUAGGUCAGCGUUGGAGGGGAAACCACUUCGCCGACAUAAAUUAAUGGUUUCCCAAGGACAAGCUUAGCGUCCUUAAUCAAGCACUUAUCAGAUCGUAACAUGAACUUCUAAUUAUUUGCAACAUUGCCUUGUGUAUUGAGCAUAUGAGAUAAUUGUAGAAAUAUUCCUUCGGGUAUUCUUGCCACUAACCUUUCCAGGAUUGGAGCAAGAAGAUCGGAUGAAUGACAAGCGCAAGGUAUGCCCAACCAAUCAACAUGCAACAUUGAAUUAAAUUCAUCCAAUCUUGAAUUUUGCAAAAAUUCAAGCUUGGGGGAGUACUUCACAUAAAAACAUCCUUUGCCAUGUUGCUAUGUUGGUUGUCCUUACCUUUGAGACAUGCUCAAUUUGUUAAAUACUAAUCACACUACUUCAUCUCCACUUAAGUAGAUCUUUAUAAGCCAUCAUGCUACCUUUGUUUAUCCUAGUAAGUGUUAGUUUGGAAGUACUGUACAUACUUCUAUUGGCUUUAAAAUUAAGCGUGGUGCUUAGGUUAAAUAGCCUUCCUUAAUCUGAUUAGACAUGGAGUCUAGUUUGGUUACUGAACUAAAAACUGCUUGAGUAGGCAUUGGUAUAUUUUGUCGGACUAACCCCUGCAGGAAAACUUUCAAUAUCAACCUGGGAAGUCCUGAGAUAAACUCACAUUGGAGACAAGGAGAGGGACACAUGAAGUUUAACAAUUUACACGAGGAAGACGUAGCUCAUAAGAGAUGAUCCAUGGAGGGUGCCACAAACACGAUGCACAACCGCUAAGAAAGAAAAGCUUCCACAAGGUGAUACUGUACCGUCACUCUUCAAGGUAACACCUUAAGGUACUUGACUAUCACUUUUAUAAGUUUCUCCUUGGUUCUAGCAUUCAUAAAGAGACAAACAUGUAUGGUCUAUAACUCAUUAAACAACUCAAUUGAUUUAGCAUGUUUAGUCCUUUAAUCUUUGUUCUUAGUACUACCUUCGUGAUCCCACACUCCUAAUCAUAUAAGCUAAAAUAUUGCACAUUUAAAUCUUUGGAAGAUACAAACAAAACAUAAAUAUAGAUAGAUUAUCGUUCCAUUAGGUUGAGCCAUCUGAUCUAACAAAUGUUUUAAAUGCUACACUCAUGAUCCAUCAACUUUGUCUUGCUCACUAUGCUUAAGGUUAGAGAAGAACAAAUACACUUUUGGUUCUGUUGGUGUUUUCCACCAACAGGUCUCAUGCACUUGAUCUCUGCCUUGUCUCUAUGAGCAGGUACAAUUCAAGCAAAACAUGGAGGAGUUUUACAACUCCCAGAUUCCACCAAGUGAAGAACCGGGAUCUACGAGCACAAACACAAUGGAGAUUAGACACUUAGUUUCCCAAAGGAAAUAUUGAAGAACCUCUGUGUCCGAGUUGGUACCUUGUACACUCCAGCAAACUUUGUGGUGAUAGAGACUGGUACUGAGGAGAGGGCACCCAUCAUCUUAGGGAGGCCAUUCCUAAACACCAGAGGUGUCAUCUACGCUAAUGCUGCCAAGAUCAGUUUCUACAUCAUGGGGAAGAAGGAGAAUUUCCUUCAAGAACAAGACUACACAAACUUCAGAGCAAUCCCGACAUAAACCAAGGAAGAGGACCAACAGGAGGAACAGGAACAAGCAAAUGUGGACCGAGUCAACUAAGAUGGUCACUCCAGUUCAAAGAGGUCAAGAUCGUCGACUCAAGUCACCUUUCUUGAUCAAGAAGGACGACCCUGGUGUUCCAAGCAUCGAGUGCACAAUCAAUGGAUACUGUUUUUAGAAGACACUCUACGACACAGGAUCUGAUGUCAACAUAAUGGCCGCAGUCACUUAUUAGCUCCUGCAUGGAACCAUGCCCCUACAACCAAUAUAUUCAGCUCCAGAUGAUUUUCAGAUCAUUGACAUGGGAGAAGACGAGUACGAUCCACCCAUCAUCCUUGGAAGACCGUUCCUCAACACUAUCAAAGCAAUCAUCUACAUUGGAAGCGGAGAAGUCCACAUAUACUUUCCCUCUGAGAAGGUACGCAGCUAUUUUACUGACCUUAACUAUAUAGUUGAAGAUUCUAAGCAGGUCAGGACAAGAAGAAGACAACGCAACCGCAACCAGAGGAGGCAAAUCAUCAAGGAUGGAUGGGUAGACUACGAAGGAGAACUGAUAAGGUCUGAAGACAUACAGCUUGAACAGAACUGUCCUGAGGAGACCAUAGCACCGAGUCAGGUGUGGAGAGAGAAGAUAGUUACACACGAAGAGGAGGCACCGCCGGAACCACCGACUACGCCAUCCAGCAAAUCCCAGGAUGACUUAGAAAAUGGAGAGUCCCAUUCGGACCGAACGCCUUGCCAAGAGGUAAACUUGGUAGUUAUCCUUUCCCUUUCAAUUAUUUUACUUAGUUAAUCAUAUUCAUACUAUCUUAAAAAGAAAAUAAAAAUAUGAAAAACAGUAAGCCCCAUGUGAGUAUACAAGUGGCAUAAAACCCAUAAGUACAUUCACUGUGGUGGCAUAAGAAUAAAAUAAAUAUUUAUUUUCUACUUUAUAAAAUGAAAAUAUAAAAAUAGGGAGUAAUAAUUAUUGAGUCUCAACAUGAUAAAGGCGAGAUAUUUAUGCUAACACUUAAUCAGUUCCACAAGCUUUGUUGUCUAUUUGAGCUCCACAGGAUUUAAGAAUCAAGAAGACUAGCAGAUGGAGGACAUUUUAAUCGCUGUCAGAAUGCUGCUGACUUUCAAGUACACCUCUGCCACCUGCUAACUACAUCAAGAGAAAUUACGUCAAAAUUCAGCUUGGGGGAGAGCACCCCCAUUUAUCCCGAUAAGUAUUUCUAUCUAUCUAUCUAUCUUUAUACUUAUACUAUAUUAAAAUAUAAAUAUACAUAAACCAGAAAAAACCAAAUAAAGAUUUUAUGCUUAUAUAUAUAUCUUUGCUUAGUUUGCUAAAUAAAUAAAUAAAUAAAGUUUGCUAUGAACCCUCAUGAUAAACUCUCACAUGGAAAUGAUGAAUAGUUGCUCUACCAUGACUAGUUCUUAAAAUUGAAAUCCCUAUCAAGUUUAGGCAUGACUGUUAUGAAGUAAGAUUUGCUCUAAACCUGAACUUGUGGGAAGAGUACUUGAUCUAAAGUCUAAGUCGUUAACGGAUAUGCUAAAAAUAUGAGGCUUGCUUCUAAAAUUGUGAAAUAUUCAAACUAGGUUGAUUUAUGUGAAAGAAGGAUUAAGAAUAUUUUUGUACAAUUUUUGGAGCUAUAGAAUUUGAGAAAUAGAAUUUAUACAAAAAUUUCCAAAUUGAAUUUAUUUGAAAACCUAGAACUAGUUUUAAUUUGUAAUUCAAAUUCUAUUGGGAAUUUGGUCUUGCUUAUUAAAACAAAGUUGUAGGGUUUUUGUUUUAGAACAAUUUUGCUUUUGGGAGCAAGAGGUGAAAAUGAUUUUAAAUUGGUCCAAAUGAAUUUAGAAAAGAAAUUGAGAAAAGAUUUUUAAAAAAAUGGAAAGUGGCAGGCGCUGCCGGGCCAACCCCACUUCCCUUUCGGCCCAGCGAGCGGCCCGGCCUGCUCCCCCUCCCCUCUCUCUCCCGCGCGCGCGGACGCGCCUCGUCCCAACCAGCGUCGGCCACGUGCCGGCCGUACACCGGCAAGGAGCGCGUCGCGGCCGGCCACCUACACCCCUAGUCGGGACGCCGGCUCGGGCUCCCAGGCCAUUCCCUCCCUCCUAUCGCCCGCGCCCCUCUUCCUCCUCCCUCCACUCGCGAGCGCAACCGAAGCCGAGAGCUCCGCCGCAGCGCCAUCGCCGGAGCAGCUCCGCUGCUCACCGCCGGCCACCCCAGUGACCAAACCUCGACACCAAGACCACCGGCGCAUUCGCCAUCGUUAGGGUAAGCUCCUGCGCGCGUUCUACCGAGGUGAGAGUCCGUCGAGCGCCGUGAAUCGCUCGCCGGAGUUACCCCGAGCUCGCCGGAGUACUCCGCCGCGACGGAUCUUGCGUUUCCCUGCUUCUUUUCGCUGGUUCUUGGUUGCGCUAGGUCGGUAGGGUGGUGAGGAAGCUCGGAGAGACGUUUGCGCGCACUCUACCACGCCAGAGCGGCCUGGCCACGGUGAGCAGCGCCGCCGUGCCGCCAUGCAUGCUCGUCGGAGGUGCUCCGGCCAUCCUCCGGUCGAUCCAAGAGUACCGCUAGGUGCGCCUCGCUGCGGGGAGCACGUUGGUGCUCACCCCGUGGCCGGGGACCUCACCGCCGGCGAGAUCUGCUCGUCGGAGGUGUGCUCUCUCUCGGUCUCGCUGACCAGUGGGGUCAGAGGCCCACUGUCAGUCGCAGGGGGACCUCGGUGGGUGUAGAUCCGGAUGUGUGUAGCCUUUUGCGUCGGUUUUCUUAAAUAAAUGUUUUCCAGAAAUUGAUUCAAAACUUGUAAAAUGUAUAUCCUGAGUUUUACAGCUCCAAAUUUGAUGAAAUAAAUUUUGGUGUGCUUUAUAUUUCCAGAUCUACAGUUUGAAGUAAUUGCAUGUCAUGUUUGAGUAUCUUUUCUAUAUGAAUAUAUUUAAUCUAUAUUUUUGAUAAACUUGGAAAAUGCAUAGUAAUUGAAAUAUGGUUCAGAAAAAUGUGAAACUUGAUUUGUUCGCUCUGCAUGUGUGUUAACUCACUGGGAAAAUAUUGCUACACAAUAUUUGGUAUAUAAAUGAAUUUAUGGUAAUUUAAAUGCUUGCAUGACAGUGGUUUAUGAUUUUUAGUAAUUAAUUGGAUCAUGCAAUUAAUCUGGAAAUUUUUGUGGGUGUUUCUGAUGAUAUUAGACAAAUUUAAAAAAUAUGAAAUCUGCUGUUUGACACUUAUAUCAUAGUGGAGUAAUUAUACUUACCUUAUUAAUUAAUCUUGUGAUUUUUGUAGCUCAAAAUAAGUAUCCAAAAAUUAUGAAAAACUUACAGUGGACCUUGUGCUUGGGUGGUAGUCUCCUGUAAUUUUUAUGAAAUUUAUUGAUGAACAGAACUGCAUACAAAUUUUGAUGGGCCUAGAAAUGAAUAAAUAAUUUAUGAUUGUUGUAUAUAGGUUAAAUAGAAUGAGAAUGGGUUUGGUGUAUCUUUGAAGCAACUUGUAGGUUGCUGGUUGCACUUGAAAAAUGAUUGUAGAAGAGAAUGCAAUAGGUGUUAAUUCAAUUACUUACCCUUGGAUGAUGUUGACUACAUUGUAAAGAGCAUGACCAAUUAAAUCGCAUACGCAUCAUGUCAUGACCCUUUGGUACCUUCUCAUACAAGCAUCCACUCGGGCAUCUCGCACUCCACUCAUGAGCACACAUGCAUCAUACAGGCUCGCAGGAGAACAAGGUGGGACCCGAGGAGCCAGAGGAGAUUCAGGAGCAGGAACCUCCGGAAGCACAGGAGUCCGGAGAGGAACUACAGGAGUGUCCAGAUCACCGACCCAGCACGUUUGAGAAAGGCAAGCCCCGGAGCAUUCUAAGUCUCCCUAUUCUCGCUAACUUACAGGAUAUACUAUGCUUGUUCUACUAUAUUGCAUUUAAGUGAUAGGAGUUGGUUGAUACCGUUGAUGCAUGGGUACUCCUUGAUAUCACCCCUCGUUAUCUACCUUGUCCUAUGUAGAUAGGUGCGGAGUCUAUGCUUAGCUUGCUUAGUCCGGUAGAAGUCGGGUGAUUUCCCGUCACCUGCGAGAUAUAGGUGGAUACCUGCUUGAUUAAGCAGUGAUUGCUUUGGGAAAAGAAUAACCAAGUGUGGAAUGGAAUUGGAGACCGGGCAGGGUCUUAUGGUGGGUUGACCAUAGUGCCCCUGCCUGUGUCGAUUAAGGACCGAUCGUUGACGGCCCUCUUGUCAUGUUGAACGCAUGUCCCACACUUAGCUGGAAGGAUAAGUCGUUCCGACCGCGAAGCCUGAACACUAUCCGGGCCGGGAAUCGAGCCGCCAUGUGCUGUAUUGGUGAUGGUUGAGGAGAACGAUGAGGGCGCGAUGCGCAACCUUGGUAUACCUUGGAUACCUCGGUCGCCGGAACGGUCCUCGGGUACUGGCGGUGCCUGCCGAACCCGCGAAUUGGUCCUGGAUAGUGUAAUACGGUGAUCUGUAGCUCACUUGAUCAGUGAGUGUGGUUUGUGUGGGGAAUACCUCGCCAGCUGGUUAGAAAUCGAUUCAAAUCGCCAUCGCUCCUGGAUAGUGAGCACUUGACAUGAGCCCUGUCCUCUUAGUAAGGACUAUGGAACACUUGGGUUAUAAUGAUGAAUGGUUUUAGGAAAUGCUAUGAUGAGGUACCAUCAUAUCACUACACUUGCUUGUGAUAGCGCAGGUGCAAACCUAGAUAUUAGGUAAUGAUACUUUCAACUUGAGCAAAUUAAAAGAAGAAAGAUGUAUGUAGUUUAUGAUAAUUGAAUCCUGUGGUUUUGCAAAAUGAUCGUCAGCUACCCCACCAUAUAGCCUUCAUGAUCCUUGAAGAGUCUUUAUUUUAAUUUAUGAUGGGUAAGUCUAGCUGAGUACCUUCUCGUACUCAGGGUUCUACUCCCAUGUUGUUUUGCAGAUGGUCAAAUGUACUAUGGUUAUUGCAUCCUCUGUCUGUACCCAGCCAUGGGUGAUGACUAGACCAAGGGCGAUGGUCACUCCGUCUUCUCUUUUGCUUUUGUGGGAAUGACCGAACUAUGGCACUGUAUCAGACUAAAUGUGUGUGUUGUAUUUUCAAACUAUGAAGCUUCCGCUACUUGAAGAACUUGGUUUGUAAUAAUUUUAAGAACUCCGAUGUGUUUUAUGAAUGUUGUAAUCUGGAUGUAUUUGUGGAUGGCGACCGCUAAACUUAUUACGAUCUUGGCUGUUGUGCGAUGUGUGGUUUGAAAUCCUUCGAGAUUUCACGGACUACCGGGAUUAUAUGGGCUUAAGCCUGAUGGGUUGACUAUGCAAAUAGUCUCCGUUAGGCUUAAUCUCUUAUAAUUUGGUCGGUUCUGUUACAACCCUAACCCAGAGAUGAGAUCUUGUUUGAACGCAUGUAUAUCUUUAAGGCAUGAAACCACUGCAGAAACUCUUAAGUUCAUCUUUGCUCAGGGACGAGCAAAGGUUAAACUUGGGGAAGCUUGUUGACGGUCCUUAAUGCUUACAUUUAACCAUCAACUAAUCAUAGAAAAGGAUCCAAAUGCAACCAACACCUAGACUUAGGGUUUCAUCUGACAGAAUUCCACGAGUUUUGUGUUUGUCUAUUUCUGCAGGGGAUUAUCAGGAAAUAUGAAAGAAAAGCCCACACGUCGGGUUUACAUAGAGAUAUUAACGUGCCGCGCAAUUUUCUACCAUCUAGAAGACUCCAGAAGCCACGGGAACGAACGGGAGGCCGAUCGGGCCCGGGGGCAGGGCGCCCGCCCAAGUCCCUUGGGUGCCCGCCCAGCUACAGUAACCAAUCAGCUUCAACUUCGCGGAUCGUGCUCCACCGACCUAAGAGAUCAAGGAAAACCAUGCGAUUAAUAUCGGUUUGAUCCAACGGCCCAUAUUCACUUGAAGGGACUAUAAAACCAGACCCCCUGGCCCCUGGAGAUCAUACCUCUUCUAUAGAAUCAAAGCUAGGGUUUCAAUUCUUCAUCCAAGUAGAGAGGAUUCCUCUAGUUCUUCUAGUACUACCUCUAGUUCAUCUAGAUCUAGUUCUAGUUCAUCUAGUUCUAGUUCUAGUUCCUCUAGUUCUAGUUCUAGUUAGUUCUAGUUGUAAUCUAGAAAAUAGGGAGAGAGAAGAGGAGAGCGGAGGAGGAGCCGGGUCUGUCGGAUCUUCCUCAACAUUAUACUUUUGUAGCAUUUGGUUCGUUCUUCAUCGUUCUCCAGGUUCUUCAAUUCAUAAUUCCUGAAUUCUUUAAUUACUUUUAUUUACAUUCAAGUUAUUUAUUGGAUUCCCGCUUGCAUCAAGUGCUCUAGUUUUUAUAACGCUAGAGUAGUAAUUAAUAGAUUAGACGUGGUGUUUAGUCUUGCAAUUACCUGGAAUUGCACCCAAUCCUACGGAUUGUUGUGGUAGCCUUAGGGUAGUGACAGCCCUAACGGUCGACGUAUUCCACCUCGUUCGGAUCGGUGUUUGUAGGACCAUAGUCAGACCUUCCUAGCCCCCUUCUCAUCUCUUUCUGUGGUUAGUGCUCUGAUGUCCCGAUAUAGAUAAUCUUGAAGUAAUUCUUGAUUCUUAGAUCAACUAGAGAACUCCGAGGAAACUUCCUCUCUUCCCACCAAAAAUAAUUAUAUAGUUAUCCUUGGGCGAUCUUGGAUCUUAAUUAGUACACUCACGUUCUCUGUGGAAAAUCGAUACUCUGGAAUACUCCCGGGUGAAAGCUACAUCGGUAUCCGUGCGCUUGCGGAUUUUUCUGUUUGCGUUUAAAAUACCCAACAAGCUUUCUGGCGCCGUUGCCGGGGAGAAAGACGGUUUGCUGAGAUAACUUUGAGUCUUGCUAUUAUCUUGUAUUAUACUUUUAUAUUUUUAUUCUUUUAUCUUUAUAUCUUUAUCUUUAUGGAUAACUCAAAUUCCAUACCUAUUAUUGAAUUCUUUGCACCUUCGGAGACCAGCCAUAGACCAUGGGAGUCAACACGUCUUGCCCCUAAUUAUGAUCUGUGUCCGGAGUUGAUUGCAAUAGGUCAAAACCAACCCUUUUCUAUAGCUGAGGUCCUAUCUUUUAAUCAAGAAGAUAAUGCACUUUUAGCUACACCUAGGGAAUCUAUUAAUCUUUCUAUAAAUUCUGGUUUAGACCUAGCCCUACAAGAGGGCAUUAAAACAAGAGGGCAUUACAAGAGGAUCGAGAAGAGCAACAUCAAUGGCUAGAGGGCAUUAAAAAUCCAUGUGCUAUCACCAUUGAAUGGAUAGAUAAAACAAACUUGAGAGACAAUCCUAGAGGAAUUUUAAGCAUUCAUGAAGAAUCAUCCUUGGAGUUUGAGAAUGAGAGAAACAACAGUGAGCAUGGAAGCUAUUUCAUAAAUACCUCACCCAGUCCUUGCUCAUAUAAAACAUCUCUCCAAUCAAUUUGUCUCUCCAUCCUUACCACAUUUGAGAUCUCCAACCCCCUCUUCCUUUCUAUUUAUAAAAACUUUAAAAGGGUGGUUGUCGAUGCAUAUGUCUAUAAUAAAUAUUGCAGAUCUCGUUGAGUUGAUCUUGAUAUAGGUCAGCGUUGGAGGGGAAACCACUUCGCCGACAUAAAUUAAUGGUUUCCCAAGGACAAGCUUAGCGUCCUUAAACAAGCACGUAUCAGAUCAUAACAUGAACUUUUAAUUAUUUGCAACAUUGCCUUGUGUAUUGAGCAUAUAAAGAUAAUUGUAGAAAUAUUCCUUCGGGUAUUCUUGCCACUAACCUUUCUAGGAUUGGAGCAAGAAGAUCGGAUGAAUGACAAGCACAAGGUAUGUCCAACCAAUCAUCAUGCAACAUUGAAUUAAAUUCAUCCAAACUUGAAUUUUGUAAAAUUCAAGCUUGGGGAGUACUUUACAUAAAAACAUCUUUUGCCAUGUUGCUACGUUGGUUGUCCUUACCUUCGAGACAUGCUCAAUUUGUUAAAUACUAAUUACACUACUUCAUCUCCACUUAAGUAGAUCUCUAUAAAUGCUCUCAUGCUACCUUUAUUUGCUUUAGUAUAUGUCUAGGUUUGGAAUAGUUUCAUUUAUCUCUUAAUUAAGCAUGGUGCUUAGUUUAGGAAUGAUGAUCUUACUUUCAAGGGAUUUUAAAUUAAGCAUGGUGCUUAGGUUAAAAUGCCCUUCUAAAUCAAAUUAGACAUGGUGUCUAGGUUGAUUUUUGAGCCGAUAAUAUGCUAUAGUAGAUAUGGGAUAUUUUGUUGGACUAACCCCUGCAGGAAAACUUUCAACCUGGGAAGUCCUGAGAUACAAACUCAUUGGAGAUGAAGAAAGUGACACAUGAAGUUUAACAAUUUGCACAAGAAAGACGUAGCUCAUAAGAGAUGAUUCAUGGAGGGUGCCACAAACACGAUGCACAACCGCUAAGAAAGGAAAGCUUCCACAAAGUGACACUGUACCGUCACUCUUCAAGGUAACACCUUAAGGUACUUGACUAUCGCUUUUAUAAGUUUCUCCUUGGUUCUAGCAUUCAUAAAGAGACAAACAUGUAUGGUCUAUAACUCAUUAAACAACUCAAUUGAUUUAGCAUGUUUAGUCCUUUAAUCUUUGUUCUUAGUACUACCUUCGUGAUCCCACACUCCUAAUCAUAUAAGCUAAAAUAUUGCACAUUUAAAUCUUUGGAAGAUAUAAACAAAACAUAAAAAUAGAUAGAUUAUCUUUCCAUUAGGUUGAGCCAUCUGAUCUAACAAAUGUUUUAAAUGCUACACUCAUGAUCCAUCAACUUUGUCUUGCUCACUAUGCUUAAGGUUAGAGAAGAACAAAUACACUUUUGGUUCUGUUGGUGUUUUCCACCAACAGGGCCCAUGCACUUGAUCUCUGCCUUGUCUCUAUGAAUAGGUACACUUCAAACAAAACAUGGAGGAGUUUUACAACUCCCAGAUUCCACCAAGUGAAGGACCUGGAUCUACGAGCACAAACACAAUGGAAAUCAGACACUUAGUUUCCCAAAGGAAAUAUUGAAGAACCUCUGUGUCCGAGUUGGUACCUUGUACACUCCAGCAAACUUCAUGGUGAUAGAGACUGGUACUGAGGAGAGGGCACCCAUCAUCUUAGGGAGGCCAUUCCUAAACACCAGAGGUGUCAUCUACGCUAAUGCUGCCAAGAUCAGUUUCUACAUCAAGGGGAAGAAGGAGACUUUUCUUCAAGAACAAGACUACACAAACUUCAGAGCAAUCCCGACAUGAACCAAGGAAGAGGACCAACAGGAGGAACAGGAACAAGCAAAUGUGGACCGAGUCAACAAAGAUGGUCACUGCAACUCAAGGAGAUCAAGAUCGUCGACUCAAGUCACCUUUCUUGAUCAAGAAGGACGACCCUGGUGUUCCAAGCAUCGAGUGCACAAUCAACGGACACUCUUUUUAGAAGACACUCUACGACACCGGAUCUGACGUCAACAUAAUGGCCGUAGUCACUUAUCAGCUCCUGCAUGGAACCAUGCCCCUACAACGAAUAUAUAUUCAGCUCCAGAUGAUUUUCAGAUCAUUGACAUGGGAGAAGACGAGUACCAUCCACCCACCAUCCUAGGAAGACCGUUCCUCAACACUAUCAAAGCAAUCAUCUACAUUGGAAGCGGAGAAGUCCACAUAUACUUCCCCUCUGAGAAGGUACGCAGCUAUUUUACUGACCUUAACUAUAUAGUUGAAGACUCUAAGCAGGUCAGGACAAGAAGAAGACAACGCAACCGCAACCAGAGAAGGCGAAUCAUCAAGGACGGAUGGAUAGACUACGAAGGAGAAGUGAUAAGUUCUGAAGACAUACAGCUUGAACAGAACUGUCCUGUGGAGACCGUAGCACCGAGUCAGGUGUGGAGAGAGAAGAUAGUUGCACACGAAGAGGAGGCGCCGCCGGAACCACCGACUACGCCACCUAGCGAAUCCCAGGACGAUAGAAAACAGAGAGUCCCGUUCGGAGGACUUAAAAACACCAAACGCAUUGCCAAGAGAUAAACUUGGUAGUUAUCCUUUUCCUUUCAAUUAUUUAAAAUAGUUUGCUUAGUUAAUCAGGUUCAUGCUAUCUUAAAAAGAAAAUAAAAAUGUUAAAAAAACAGUAAGCCCCAUGUGAGUAUACGAGUGGCAUAAAACCCAUAAGUACAUUCACUGUGGUGGCGUAAAAAUAAAAUAAAUAUAUUCUUGUCCUAUAAAUAUAAAAAUAUAAAAAUAAAUUUACGAUCCUACUAAAGAGAGUAACAUUUAUUGAGGAGGCUCAACAUGAUAAAGGCUAGAUAUUUAUGCUAACACUUAACCAGUUCCACAAAGCUUUGUUGUCUAUUUGAGCUCCACAGAAUUUAAGGAUCAAAGAAGACUAGCAGACGAAGGACAUCCUAAUCGCUGUCAGGGUGCUGCCGACUUUCAAAAACACCUCCACCACCUGCUAGCUACAUCAGAAGAAAUUACGUCAAAAUCCAGCUUGGGGGAGAGCACCCCAUUUAUCCAGCUAAGUGUUUCUACUCGCGUUUAUACUUUGCUCAAAUAAUAAAAAGAUGCAUAAUCAUGAAAACCCAAAUAAAGAUUUUGUGCUUAUAUAUAUAUAUAUAUAUUUGCAUAGUUUGCUAAAUAAAUAAAUAAAUAAAGUUUGCUAUGAACCCUCAUGAUAAACUCUCACAUGGAAAUGAUGAAUAGUUGCUCUGCCAUGACUAGUUCUUAAAAUUGAAAUCUCUCUCAAGUUUAGGCAUAACUGUUAUAAUUUAAAACUGCUCUAAACCUGAACUUGUGGGAAGAGUACUUGAUCUAAAGUCUAAGUCGUUAACGGAUAUGAUAUGGGAAGGUUGAGCUGCUGUUUAUCUGUUCCUAGAGAUGCUAGAAUUCUGGAGAAUUUUAUCUUUGAAAAAUCUUUAAAAUAUCACAUGACGAGUUCCUGUAUGACGAGAGUUUAAAAUCCUACCACAGCCAUAUAUACAUGCUUGCUAGACUUUGAGCCACAUAUUUACUUUUUACUCCUUAUGAGCAUUGAGUGCGGUCAAGCUGUGUACACCCUUAGGAGCUUGUCAUGUGGUUAAAAUCAAGAUUCACUUGCACGUUCACUCAUACAUGCUACUUCUACUCCGGAAGUACCAUCCAUAUAUAUCCACUCAUUUCCAUCUCCACAUUCACCCGAAAUUAUUCUACUCCUAAUCCGGGAGAGAAUAGCCAAAAACAUUUUCCAAUCCCUGUUAUUCCCUGUGAAAUAAAUGCUCCAGUUAUUUUGGUUACUACCACUUGCUACAUUAUUUGAGGAGAUGAGUGCUCUAAAAAAAAGAAGAAAGAAAAAAAAAGAGAGAAGAGAAAAAAAUACGAGGAAAUAAAAAGGGGCAAGUGCCCGGAACCUCGAAGAAAAAGAAAAAAGUGAGACGAGAGGUAAAAAUGGACAAGUGUCCGACAGUAGAAUUAGGGGUACAAGAUACCCACCUGAGAGGAAAGAAAAAGAAAAUAUAGAGCAUCUCAUUCUCCCCAAAAAGCUUCAAAAUGCAAGAAAGGUAUGUAUCCCCUCAAAAGAGCAAAUGUAGAAUUAGACUUUCACCAUUAUUAUCACCAUCAGCACCAUACACCAUUCAUUCGCCACACAUGCACAUCUUGAUUUGACUUAUUGACUUGUUUCUCUAGAUCCAUGGUUUGACUAUGCAAUAAAUGUCUUGUAAGUAUGUAUUAGCUGUCUCCCACCUAUGAGCUCCAGAUAUCAAACCUUAUUAGAGUAGGGUGAGAGAGAAGGUAAUAUCACUAUGCAUUAUACCAAAAAUACCACAUACUUUGAGAGAAGGCAUAUACCAUUACUGCCUUGGUAAGGAUCCAGAAAUACCACAAAAGAGAGAUUUGAGAUAGUCAUAUAAGGAAUCUCUGAGUUUUAUUUGAAAAUCUGCAAAAACUCUAGAGCUAUAGCUGAUCAAAGAACAAGAGACAUGGCGCUUGACUUGACCGUUCUAUCUUUUAACUGCUCAAGACACAAGUGACGGUUACAAGCCCCAUGGUGAAAGGUAAAAUGAGUAAGUUUUAAGUCUUAACAGUUUAUUCUAACUCAGAGAUGAGACCUUGCUUGAAUGCGUGUGUACUUUUAAGGCAUGAAACCACUGCAGAAACUCUUGAGUUCAUCCUUGCUCAGGGACGAGCAAGAGGUAAGCUUGGGGGAGUUUGUUGACGGUCCUUAAGUAUCAAAUUUAAUUAUCAAAUAAACAAAGAAAAGGAUCCAAAUGAAAUCAACAUCUAGACUUAGGGUUUUAUCUGACAGAAUUCCACGAGUUUUGGUGUUUGUCUAUUUCUGCAGGGGGUUAUCAGGAAAUAAGGAAGAAAUGCCCACAUGUCAGGAUUACAUAGAGAUAUCAACGCACCGCGCAAUUUUCUACCAUCUAGAAGACUCCAGAAGCCACCAGACCGAAGCGGAGGCGAAACGGGGCCAGGACCUUGGCGCCCGCCCAGUUUCCUUGGGCGCCCGCCCACCUGCCGAGCCCAAUCAGGACUCUUUCUCUCGGGAGAUCUCCACCGACCUAUUGGAUCCAGAAUAACAUAGUACCACAUCGCCUACCGACCCAAAAACGCAUAGAAGGGGAGGACUAUAUAAGGAGACCCCCCUGGCCCCUGGAGAAGACAAGAAAUUAUCAUAGAGAUUGAGGGGUGCCCUCAAAGGAAAACCUCUUCUCUAAAUAAUAUUUCUUUUUAGGCUUAGCAACCAAUGUAAAGUAGAAAUAGAUCUUAUAGUUUCUACUAGAUUGAGAGAGAUAGAGUGGAGGUGUGGAUCGGAGGAAGGCCGGCCUGUCGGUGUCUACUCCGAGUUGUACCUACGGGAUCAAGUCUCCUAACCCGAGGCUUGCUUCUAAGAUUCUUCAGUAAUUCGACUUCUAAUUCUUGUAAGUUCUUGUUUUAUUGUUCUUUGGUUUAUGAGUUUACUUUAAUCCUCUUCCGGUUGAGUAUUAGAGUAAUCACUUGCUAGCGUAAACGUGGUGUUUAGGCUAGGGUACUCAUAGAUAUCCCCUGACUAGCUGGACCAUGGUAGUAGCGAGGAACGUGACAUUUCCGAGUUACCUUUGUAUCCCAUAUCUUGUUAGCAGGACGGGUAGGGUUAUAGGUGCGGGUCGAACAUCCUUUGUGUUGUCAAGAUUCCGUGAGCCUCCCCAAUAGAACUGUAGAUCAUCCUUACCAAGGUUAGAACGAGACUACGGUUGCAGUCUUCUCUAUACAUCGCUCACAUCGAGAAACAUUCUUUGUAGCCUAAAGGGGUAGUAGCAAUAGAUUUGGUUAGUCAGAUGCACCUUUUCUCCCAGUGGUAAAAAUAUAAAUACGAUAACUCUGGAUAACCUCCCGGGUGAAAUGCUCACCGAUAUCCACGCGCUUGCGGAUCAUUUCCUGAUUGCGUUACCAAAUAUCAACAAGCAUUUCUGCCAGAAAGCUUGUUGGGUAUUUUAAAAGCAAACAGAAAAAUCCGCAAGCGCACGGAUACCGAUGUAGCUUUCACCCGGGAGUAUUCCAGAGUAUCGAUUUUUCACAGAGAACGUGAGUGUACUAAUUAAGAUCCAAGAUCGCCCAAGGAUAACUAUAUAAUUAUUUUUAGUGGGAAGAGAGGAAGUUUCCUGAGAGUUCUCUAGUUGAUCUAAGAAUCAAGAAUUACUUCAAGAUUAUCUAUAUCGGGACAUCAGAGCACUAACCACAGAAAGAGAUGAGAAGGGGGCUAGGAAGGUCUGACUACGGUCCUACAAACGCCGAUCCGAACGAGAUGGAAUACGUCGACCGUUAGGGCUGUCACUACCCUAAGGCUACCACAACAAUCCGCAGGAUUGGGUGCAAUUCCAGGUAAUUGCAAGACUAAACACCACGUCUAAUCUAUUAAUUACUACUCUAGCGUUAUAAAGACUAGAGCACUUGAUGCAAGCGGGAAUCCAAUAAAUAACUUGAAUGUAAAUAAAAGUAAUUAAAGAACUCAGGAAUUAUGAAUUGAAGAACCUGGAGAACGAUGAAGAACGAACCAGAUGCUGCAAAAGUAUAAUGUUGUGGAAGAUCCGACAGACCCGGCUCCUCCUUCGCUCUCCUCUUCUCUCUCCCUAUUUUCUAGAUUACAACUAGAACUAACUAGAACUAGAACUAGAGGAACUAGAACUAGAACUAGAUGAACUAGAACUAGAUCUAGAUGAACUAGAGGUAGAACUAGAAGAACUAGAGGGAUCCUCUCUACUUGGAUGAAGAAUUGAAACCCUAACUUUGAUUCUGUAGAAGAGGUAUGAUCUCCAGGGGCCAGGGGGGUCUGGUUUUAUAGUCCCUUCAAGUGAAUCUGGGCCGUGGGAUCAAACCGACAUUAAUCGCACGGUUUUCCUUGAUCCUUUAGGUCGGUGGAGCGUGGUCCACGAAACGGGUCCGUUUUGGACACUAUAGCUGGGCGGGCGCCCUCAGGACUAGGGCGGGCGCCCUGUGCGUGAGCCCUCUCGGCCUCUGCUUCGGUCCCGUGGCUUCUGGAGUCCUCUAGAUGGUAGAAAAUUGCACGGCACGUUAAUAUCUCUAUGUAAACCCGACGUGUGGGGCUUUCUUCCGUAUUUCCUGAUAACCCCCUGCAGAAAUAGACAAACACCAAAACUCAUGGAAUUCUGUCAGAUAAAACCCUAAGUCUAGGUGUUGGUUCCAUUUAGAUCAUUUUCCAUGAUUAGUUGAUGGUUAAAUGUGAGCAUUAAGGACCGUCAACAAGCUCCCCCAAGCUUAACCUUUGCUCGUCCCUGAGCAAAGAUGGACUCAAGAGUUUCUGUAGUGGUUUCAUGCCUUAAAAAUACACAUGCAUUUAAACAAGAUCUCAUCUCUGGGUUAGGGUAACUGUUAAGAUUUAAACUUACUCAUUUUACCUUCCACCAUGGGGCUUGCAACCGUCACCUAUGUCUUGAGCAGUUAAAAGAUAGAACAGUCUAGUCAAGCGCCAUGUCUCUUGUUCUUCGAUUAACUAUAGCUCUGGAGUUUUUGCAGAUUUUCAAAUAAAACUCAGAGAUUCCUUGUAUGACUCUCUCUAGUCUCUCUUGUGGUAUUUCUGGAUCCUUACAAAGGCAGUAUUGGUAUAUGUCUUCUCUCAAAGUAUGUGGUAUUUGUGGUAUAAGGCAUAGUGGCAUUGCCUUCUCUCUCACCCUACUCUUAUAAGGUUUUGAUAUCUGGAGCUCAUAGGUGGGAGACAGCUAAUACAUACUUACAAGACAUUUAUUGCAUAGUCAAACCAUGGAUCCAGAAGAACAAGUCAAUAAGUCAAAUCAAGAUGUGCAUGUGUGGCGAAUGAAUGGUGCAUGGUAAUGAUGGUGAUAACAAUGGUGAAAGUCUAAUUCUACUUGUGCUCUUUUGAGGGGAUACAUACCUUUCUUGCUCUUUUGAAACUUUUUGAGGAGAAUGAGAUGCUCUAUAUAUAUAUAUUUUUUUUUUCUUCUCUUAGGUGGGUAUCUUGUACCCCUAAUUCUACUGUCGGACACUUGUCCAUUUUUACCUCUCGUCUCAUUUUUUCUUUUCUUCGAGGUUCCGGGCACUUGCCCCUUUUUAUUUCCUCGUAUCUUUUUUUUUUCUUCUCUUUUUUUUAUUAUUAGAGCACUCAUCUCCUGAAAUAAUAUAGCAAGUGGCAAUAACCAAGAUAACUUGAGCAUUUAUUUCACAGGGAAAAACAGAAAUGUUUUUGGCUAUUCUCUCCCGGAUUAGGAGUAGAGUAUUUUUGGGUGGUUCUGGAGAUGGAAAUGGAUAUAUGUGGAUGGUACUUCCUGAGUAGAGGCAGCAUGUAUGAGUGAACGUGCAAGUGAAUCUUGAUUUAACCACAUGACAAGCUCCUAAGGGUCUACACAGCUUGACCACACUCAAUGCUCAUAAGUAGUAAAGUAAAUGUGUGGUUCAUAGUCUAGCAAGGAUGUAUAUAUGGCUGAGGGAGGAAUUUAAACUCUCAUUAUACAAGAACUCAUCAUGCAACAUUUUAAAGAUUUUCAAAGAUAAAAUUCUCCAGAAUUCUAGCAUCUCUAGGAACAGAUAAACAGCAGCUCAACCUUCCCAUAUCAUAUCCGUUAACGACUUAGACUUCAGAUCAAGUAGUCUUCCCACAAGUUCAGGUUUAGAGCAAAUAUUAAUUAAUAACAGUCAUUCCUAAACUUGAGAGAGAUUUCAAUUUUGAGAACUAGUCAUGGCAGAGCAACUAUUCAUCAUUUCCAUGUGAGAGCUUAUCAUGAGGGUUCAUAGCAAACUUUAUUUAUUUAUUUAUUUAGCAAACUAAGCAAAGAUAUAUAUAUAAGCACAAAAUCUUUAUUUGGGUUUUUAUGAUUAUGCAUCUUUUUAUUAUUUGAGUAAAGUAUAAACGUGAGUAGAAUACUUAGCUGGAUAAAUGGGAGUGCUCUCACCAAGCUGGAUUUUGAUGUAAUUCCUUCUGAUGUAGCUAGCAGGUGUCAGGGGUGUAUUUGAAUGUCGGCAGCGCUCUGACAGCGAUUAGGAUGUCCUCCGUCUGCUAGUCUUCUUUGAUCCUUGAAUUCUGUGGAGCUCAAAUAGACAACAAAGCUUUGUGGAACUAGUUAAGUGUUAGCAUAAAUAUCUAGCCUUUAUCAUGUUGAGCCUCCUCAAUAAAUGUUACUCUUUUUAGUAGGAUCAUAAAUCUUUUUAUAGGACAGGAAUAUAUUUAUUUUAUUUUUACGCCACCACAGUGAAUGUACUUAUGGGUUUUGUGCCAUG
rnacentral:lncRNA from 1 species